AUUGAACGCUGGCGGCAGGCCUAACACAUGCAAGUCGAGCGGAUGACGGGAGCUUGCUCCUUGAUUCAGCGGCGGACGGGUGAGUAAUGCCUAGGAAUCUGCCUGGUAGUGGGGGACAACGUUUCGAAAGGAACGCUAAUACCGCAUACGUCCUACGGGAGAAAGCAGGGGACCUUCGGGCCUUGCGCUAUCAGAUGAGCCUAGGUCGGAUUAGCUAGUUGGUGAGGUAAUGGCUCACCAAGGCGACGAUCCGUAACUGGUCUGAGAGGAUGAUCAGUCACACUGGAACUGAGACACGGUCCAGACUCCUAAGGGAGGCAGCAGUGGGGAAUAUUGGACAAUGGGCGAAAGCCUGAUCCAGCCAUGCCGCGUGUGUGAAGAAGGUCUUCGGAUUGUAAAGCACUUUAAGUUGGGAGGAAGGGCAGUAAGUUAAUACCUUGCUGUUUUGACGUUACCGACAGAAUAAGCACCGGCUAACUCUGUGCCAGCCGCCGCUGUAA
rnacentral:rRNA from 1 species